rnacentral:rRNA from 1 species
GAUGAACGCUGGCGGCGUGCUUAACACAUGCAAGUCGAACGAUGAAGCCCAGCUUGCUGGGUGGAUUAGUGGCGAACGGGUGAGUAACACGUGAGUAACCUGCCCUUAACUCUGGGAUAAGCCUGGGAAACUGGGUCUAAUACCGGAUAGGAGCGCCUACCGCAUGGUGGGUGUUGGAAAGAUUUAUCGGUUUUGGAUGGACUCGCGGCCUAUCAGCUUGUUGGUGAGGUAAUGGCUCACCAAGGCGACGACGGGUAGCCGGCCUGAGAGGGUGACCGGCCACACUAGGACUGAGACACGGCCCAGACUCCUACGGGAGGCAGCAGUGGGGAAUAUUGCACAAUGGGCGAAAGCCUGAUGCAGCGACGCCGCGUGAGGGAUGACGGCCUUCGGGUUGUAAACCUCUUUCAGUAGGGAAGAAGCGAAAGUGACGGUACCUGCAGAAGAAGCACCGGCUAACUACGUG